AGGGCGGGGUGGAGGGUGGCCUGGGCCACGGGCCACAGCUCGCGCCUCUGGGGGCCCCGGCCACACGGAAGCGGCCGUGGAAGAGGAAGCCGCCGGGACCCUGACAAGAAGCUGUGUCUCGUGGCCCAGGCUGGCACUCGCCCCUCCGGCCCUGCUCAGCCCUGGGGGAGCAGGAAGCCGUGUGGCUCCUCAAACCCGCUUCCUGUUAGAGCAUCUUUGCAACCACAGGGCCUGGGGUGGGGGAGGCAGCCGACAUUCACAUCCUCAACCCAGCGCUGGGACUUCGCUCAUUGGUCAAGGGGAGGUGAUGUCAGAGCCCCGGGGUGGGGUGGCGGCGCCUGGGGCGUGAGCAGGUGCCUGACACCCUCGGAGAUCAGAAUUCGGGGUUCCGAGGCGGAGACAGGGGGCCGGCCUGAGAGCGAGGUGGCACAGGGCCGUGCGGAGCCCCCGGGAGGAUGCCAGGCUGGGCCCCUGGCGGGCCUGUGACGAGUCCCAUUACCUCGCUGAGCCUGUUUCCACACAUGUGACAAGGAAGGGGAUGAACUAGGUGAUCUCUAAUCCUUCCAGCUCUUUCCACGGAACUCAUUGGGGGGCCAGCUUCUUUGUCUGGAAAGAGCGUGCACAGCAUUCUGCCUCCCAGGCCCAUUUUGGUGACGCUGGGGCACGACACAGGAUUGACAACAGGGCGCACAAGGGCGCCGGCUGUCCCAGAAGGACCCGGGGACUCUGGGAGACGGCAGAGGGCCUGGCGGGGACACGUCUUUCCCCUUUACCUCCCAGCCACAGACACGCUCUCUCCUGCCCUACUCGGGGCCGCAGGGAGGACGAUGCAGAGGGAGAAUCGAGUUGUUCAAGGCUUACACAGCUCAGGGGCAAGACAGGAACCAGGCAGAACAGCUUUUAUCUGUUUAUUUAAAAACAGAAUAUCAUUUUAUAUACAAAUAUGCACAUAUUUACACAAAAUGUACACACGAGGACCCCAGAUCUUUGGGCUCCACAUCCAAAGUCCUGAGCUGGCCAGGGAGCAGGGGGUGAAAUCCAGCUGUUUUCGGGCCAAGUGGGGUUUGGGUACAAAAUCUUGGCAUUCUGGCUGAGUGUGUUUCGGGUGGGCAAGGCAACGGUGGACCGUAUCUAACCCGAGCACCCCCCCCCAAAACUUCCAAAAGAGCCCCAAGCUAGUGACCCAGAGUUCCCUGGGGGAAAGGAGACAUUCUUGCCUCCAGCGGCAGCUUUGCCCCACCUGACCCCCCCCUCCCCUGGUCUGUAAUCACGACCCUUCCUCCCUUAUACCACCUGUGAACCAGGAGCCCUUGUCACCCAGUCCCCGCACCCCCCCCCCCAAGGGACCACAAACAACUGGGGACGCAACUAAGAAAAAAGACGCGGUAGGGAAGGGACCGGGGAGCCUCUAGGGCCAGGGACCCCACCCUGUCCUCCUGCAGCCCCUGACCGAGGGGCUCACACCGUUGACUCAGACUCCACAACUCCAGGCUCCCUCCCAAGAGGCUGCCUGAAUUAAAGUGUCUUAGCAGGAACACCUUUCAGAACCAUGGGCGUUGGCCCCCUGCUGGGGUCUGAGCACAGUCUCUCAGGAGGGGGGUGGCUGACCAGUGGCUGACUCCCAGGGUUGUUGGCUAAUCAUACUCCAAGCAGUCCAAGCAAUAACAAACAUCCAGAGGCAGCGCAAAUUUUCUUUCAAAGACAAUUGGAAAGAAAUUCAAACUUUUGUGUCUCGUAUUAAAGUAUUCGGAGCAGUAUUCCCUACAGAAACUCCCCCAACAGGUCUAUUUAUAGAAAAUAGGCAGGUGCAGCAGGGCCCAGAGGCCACCAGAGGCCACCAGAGGGCCAGGGGCUUCUUCCUGAACAGGGUUAGCCUGGCAGGCCCCUGAGCUGGCCGUUCACACUUGCCCCCGCUGGCUUUCAAGUGGAGGGAGCCCAGCUCCCCAACUCAGAGGAGGCCAGAAUCCAGCUCCGGCCCGUGCACCUGGGUCUGGCCCACCGUCUCCACCUCUCGCCUCCAACCUCUGCGUCAUUAAUACUGCUCUGGGGUCCGAGGAGAUAACCUGUGCUUACGGGUAGAGGUCACGCAGCCACACGACGCGCCAGCGAACCCACCGCAGUUCACUUGGACGCUGACAUGAAGCACGGGCACAUCACCCCCGCACACGCACAAGGGUCCCGUUCUCUUGGACGAAAUGGUUCAUGGCCUGUUUGAUGCCUUCGUCCCGAUCUUCCUCCUCCUCUGCCCGCCCGGAGCCUGGAGACAGCAGUUCAGUCUGGGUUUCAAUCUCCCUCACCGUGGUCAACGUCGAGUAACUACGGCCCUCCGGCUCUUCGCUCUGGACGCCAAGGGCAGAGGGCAAGUCAGGACCCGAGGCAGGGGAGCCAGACGGGAGGGGGGCCGGGUGGGGAGCCGUAGGGUCAGAGGUCAGGGGCUCAGACGCGGGGGGGCCAGGAAUGAGCGUCAGGCGCGGAGGGGGGGGGGAGGAGAGCCACAGGUGAACACAGGCACAGCCGAGGUGCCGGCCCGAGACAGAGGGUCUGGUGAGGGGCGGCUGGCGCGCCACAUCCCCGAGCAGGAGAGGGGCCUGAGGACAGUGGUGGGGACGCCGGUGGGGCCGGGGGGCCUCACCAUCACAGAGCAGCUACUGUUGUCCUUGAGACUAUCGGGGUGGCCCUCGGCUCUCAGCCCUACACUCUCCUCCGGCUGUGGGGCCCGGACAUGGGGGAGGAGUCAGAACAGGGCUCAGCCUCCUCCGUCAUCACCUCUCCCCCCACCCGACCUGUCCACCUGUCUGCCUGUCUGCUCUCCCUGACGCCCGUCCUCGCCCCCCCACCCGGCCCCACCCUGGAGCCAGGGCUGACGGCGGCUUCCCCGAGCAGCCCCCGGGGCCAGUGCUAAAGGGGGGCCAGGUGGACCCAGAGUGGACCCCAAAACAGCCCUACCCCCAGCCCAGGCCGCGAGUCAGCGGCCAGACCUGGCCGAGGGCUGUCUGUCCUCCUGGUCUGCAGAAGGGCCCCCCGAGCCCCCCUUCUCCCCACCUCUCUUCCCCACCCUUCCCCUCCCCCAACCCGCUCCCAGAUGCACCCGACCUUGGCACACACCUGGCUCCUGGGGUCCGAGUGAUGGGAGUGCAGCCUCCGGAUGGAGUUCUCCCGGGUCAGGGUCAGCUCCUCCUCACUGGGAAAGACACGCCCUUGUUAGGAGCUGAGGGUACUGGUGGCUCCCAAGGUGGGCAGGCCGAGAGCCUAUGUGAGCCGGGGCUGGAGGGUGUGGGGGCUGUGCUGUCCCCCCCCCUCCCCCCCAGUGUGAGUGAGUGGCUGCAGAGGGAGCGUGAGCCCUGCUAGGGUGUGUGUGCUUGGGGAUACCCAGGCACGUGGAUCUGGGCCUCCCUCCCCACUGAGCUGUGGCCCCAGCGCCCCUGGCUCCCCGAAGGACCCUGCCCAGCUCCGGUCCAUGAGCUCCCCAGCCGUCAGCACCCCCGCCCGCCUCCCCUCUCUCCUGGGUGCCGGGGCCCCCACCUCCCGCUCCGCCCGGCCGGCUUUGCCCCCAGCUUAGCUCCGCCCCCCCGAGCGGCCACGACUCACUAUUUCUGGGUCAUCUGCUGAGCCUUGCGCCGAUGGUACCGGGACAUGAGCACCACCACCACCACCAGCAGGAGGAACAAGAGUGCGGCGAUCACGCCCACCACCACCACUGAGGCCGACACCAGGUUCACCUGCUUCCCAGGGGCCUCCUGCGGGUCUGCGGGAGACAGGCCUCGGUCGGGGGUGGCUGCCCACACCCCCGCCCUCCCCAACCCUGCCCCUGUGUCCUCCCAACACCCCCCCCCCCAAACCACCCCCUCAGCCUGACCCUCUGCAAAAUACACGCGGUCCAGGCCCCCCCCCCCCCGCCCCCAGCUCACCCUCUCCGUCACCGUUGCCCCUCCGGGCUCUCGGCCGGGCCCCCCCCGCCCCGUGUCUGCCCCGGUGCUCACCAAGGAUGUCCACAGUGACCCGGGAAUCCCUCGAAGAGAGCUCGUUGCUGACGUGGCACACGUAGAUGCCGCUGUGCUCGGGGGUCAGCGGAGGAAAGCCCAGAGUGUCCCCUUCCGCUCGCACCCCGCUGGGCAGAGGCCCGUCCAACCUGGACGACAGGGAGGCUGCGGCGGCCCGAGGCUGCCCCCACCCAACGUGCCCGGGCAGCUCUCCCCUCCCGCCCCCGUGACGUCACCCGAGCCGCUGGCUGUUCCCACGGUGCCCCUCCCUCCCCCGGGCAGGUCUGGGCAGAGGCCCCUGCUCCCUGCCGCCCAGGCUGACCCGGGCACCCCCCCACACACACACACCACACACGUCACCCGGCACUGGGUACCAGGUCCACACCGCAGGACACCCCGUCCCUCUCUGGGCUCAGACGGACUGGGAGAGUGUGACCGCACGCCCCAACACCCACGACAUUGCGUGGCAGGGGACCUGAACGGAGCCCGGGGCACGCACGAGGCCACACGCACGGUUCAUCCGUUCACGUGUGAGAAUGUGCCUGUCGGGGGCUCACACACGUGUGCACCUGACCCCUCCCCAACCCCCUGGACACCUGAGACCCGGGAAAAAGCCAAGGAACCGGCAGAGGCGGGCGGCUGGCACUUCUAAGGUGCUUACAAGGGUCUUACAAGAUCACAGCCGUGCCUUUUUGUCCUCUCCGCCUCAGGUACUCACGUAAACAUAUAAAACAUUAAUAUUUAAAUC